rnacentral:rRNA from 1 species
CCUACGGGGAGCAGCAGUGAGGAAUAUUGGUCAAUGGCCGGAAGGCUGAACCAGCCAUGCCGCGUGAAGGUCAGUGCCCUAUGGGCGUUAAACUUCUUUUGUGCGGGAGCAAUAAUGGUCACGUGUGGCCAGACGAGAGUACCGUACGAAUAAGCAUCGGCUAACUCCGUGCCAGCAGCCGCGGUAAUACGGGGGAUGCAAGCGUUAUCCGGAUUUAUUGGGUUUAAAGGGUGCGUAGGCUGUGAGGUAAGUCAGCGGGGAAAUGCCCCCGCUCAACGGGGUGAAGUGCCAUUGAUACUGCCUUGCUGGAAUGCGGAUGCCGUGGGAGGAAUGUGUGGUGUAGCGGUGAAAUGCAUAGAUAUCACACAGAACACCGAUUGCGAAGGCAUCUCACGAAUCCGCGAUUGACGCUGAUGCACGAAAGCGUGGGUAUCAAACAGGAUUAGAUACCCCAGUAGUC